rnacentral:rRNA from 1 species
AUUGAACGCUGGCGGCAGGCCUAACACAUGCAAGUCGAGCGGAUGAGGAGAGCUUGCUCUCUGAUUUAGCGGCGGACGGGUGAGUAAUGCCUAGGAAUCUGCCUGGUAGUGGGGGAUAACGUCCGGAAACGGGCGCUAAUACCGCAUACGUCCUACGGGAGAAAGCAGGGGACCUUCGGGCCUUGCGCUAUCAGAUGAGCCUAGGUCGGAUUAGCUAGUUGGUGAGGUAAUGGCUCACCAAGGCUACGAUCCGUAACUGGUCUGAGAGGAUGAUCCGCCACACUGGGACUGAGACACGGCCCAGACUCCUACGGGAGGCAGCAGUGGGGAAUAUUGGACAAUGGGCGCAAGCCUGAUCCAGCCAUGCCGCGUGUGUGAAGAAGGCCUUAUGGUUGUAAAGCACUUUAAGCGAGGAGGAGGCUACUUUAGUUAAUACCUAGAGAUAGUGGACGUUACUCGCAGAAUAAGCACCGGCUAACUCUGUGCCAGCAGCCGCCGUAACAC